GACGAACGCUGGCGGCGUGCUUAACACAUGCAAGUCGAACGGAAAGGCCCUGCUUGCAGGGUGCUCGAGUGGCGAACGGGUGAGUAACACGUGGGUGAUCUGCCCCUUACUUUGGGAUAAGCCUGGGAAACUGGGUCUAAUACUGGAUAGGACCAUGCUGUAGGUGGUGUGGUGGAAAGAUUAGUUUCGGUAAGGGAUGAGCUCGCGGCCUAUCAGCUUGUUGGUGGGGUAAUGGCCUACCAAGGCGUCGACGGGUAGCCGGCCUGAGAGGGUGGACGGCCACAUUGGGACUGAGAUACGGCGCAGAAGCCUACGGGAGGCAGCAGUGGGGAAUAUUGCACAAUGGGCGCAAGCCUGAUGCAGCGACGCCGCGUGGGGGAUGACGGCCUUCGGGUUGUAAACUCCUUUCAGCCAUGACGAAGCCCUUGUGGUGACGGUAGUGGUAGAAGAAGCACCGGCUAACUACGUG
rnacentral:rRNA from 1 species